rnacentral:snoRNA from 1 species
UUAGCACUUCUGCAGGUCAUUUCCAGACAAGUGGGACCAAGAUUUGGUAGAUGGGGCUGAAGAAUACCCUUGAUUGCUUCCUUGAUGUGGAGCUGUACCAGUGGCAGCUGUCACUCAGUGGUACAGAG